rnacentral:rRNA from 1 species
GACGGGGCCCGCACAAGCGGUGGAGUAUGUGGUUUAAUUCGAUGCAACGCGAAGAACCUUACCUGGUCUUGACAUCCCGGAGACCCUUAGGAAACUAGGGGGUGCUUCCAUCUGGAAGAAUCUGGAGACAGGUGCUGCAUGGCUGUCGUCAGCUCGUGUCGUGAGAUGUUGGGUUAAGUCCCGCAACGAGCGCAACCCUUGCCUUUAGUUGCCAGCAGUUCGGCUGGGCACUCUAAAGGGACUGCCGGUGUUAAACCGGAGGAAGGUGGGGAUGACGUCAAGUCCUCAUGGCCUUUAUGACCAGGGCUACACACGUACUACAAUGGCCGAUACAAAGGGCAGCGACACUGCGAGGUGAAGCCAAUCCCGUAAAAUCGGUCUCAGUCCGGAUUGGAGUCUGCAACUCGACUCCAUGAAGUUGGAAUCGCUAGUAAUCGUGGAUCAGCAUGCCACGGUGAAUACGUUCCCGGGCCUC